rnacentral:rRNA from 1 species
UGAGUAACACGUAUCCAACCUGCCGUCUACUCUUGGACAGCCUUCUGAAAGGAAGAUUAAUACAAGAUGGCAUCAUGAGUCCGCAUGUUCACAUGAUUAAAGGUAUUCCGGUAGACGAUGGGGAUGCGUUCCAUUAGAUAGUAGGCGGGGUAACGGCCCACCUAGUCAACGAUGGAUAGGGGUUCUGAGAGGAAGGUCCCCCACAUUAGAACUGAGACACGGUCCAA